GACGAACCGUACGAACGUUAUUCGGAAUUACUGGGCUUAAAGGGUGCGUAGGCGGCGCAGUAAGUUGGGUGUGAAAUCUCCGGGCUUAACCCGGAAAGGUCAGCCGAUACUGCGGGGCUAGAGUGCAGAAGGGGCAACUGGAAUUCUCGGUGUAGCGGUGAAAUGCGUAGAUAUCGAGAGGAACACCUGCGGCGAAGGCGGGUUGCUGGGCUGACACUGACGCUGAUGCGCGAAAGCUAGGGGAGCGAACGGG
rnacentral:rRNA from 1 species